AGCCCUCAUGCUAGACAGUAAUUCUAAAGCAUAUCGCAAUAGCUGAUGAAACUUCAAGGUAUACUCCUUUACUGUCAUUCUUUUUUGUUUCAAAUUUAUGAAUUUCUCAGCCUUUGCCUCCCUCAAAUCUCAAGGAAAGAAUCAAGAUAAGUACUAGAGAAGUUAUUCCACAAGACUAACUGAGUAUCAUCACCCCUAGACUGGUCCCAUUCCUAA
rnacentral:lncRNA from 1 species